rfam:Colletotrichum sublineola strain TX430BB Scaffolds0921.1, whole genome shotgun sequence.
UCCGAUAUGGUGUAGUGGCCAACAUGAUGCCCUCUCAAGUUCUUUGGGAGGUUAGGCAUAGCCCCGAGUUCGAUUCUCGGUUUCGGAA